GGUUAAUGGAGCUGCAGCUGCGGUUCUGCUGCUUUUUGCCGGUUAAUGGAGCUGCAGCUGCGGUUCUGGUUUGUGCCUUCUUAUCCUGCAGCGCCACCACGGGUCCUCACAGGAUCUUACAUUUUGUGGGAUGAUAAUAGAUGUAAUAUUCCCAACUCUGCCUGUAUGUACCCUGGGACUAUGUAAAGUUACAACACCACGGUUAAUAUCGCCGGACGUUACUGAGCAGACAACUGCCCGAAGGAGAAAUUGCGUUAGUCUUUCAACAAUGCUAACUGAGUUUUGGGCAAAAAGGAAAUAUUUAGGUAACAGUCUAGCUUGGCAAAAAGAAUUUCAAAUAUAAUAGUAGUUAACAUGGGCAACAUUUAGAUCUUUAUAGUUUUAUUUCCAUGAACCAUAGGAAUAAUUAGUAGCUGUGAACCUCGAACAAAUUAUUUAAUCUCUCUGCUUUAAUUUCCUCAUCUGUAAAAUGAGGAUAAUAAUAGCACCUACCACAUAGGGCUGUUGUGAUUUCCCCACCUUACACAUGAGGAAACUGAUUCAAAGAGAGAUUAAGCUUAAAAAUAAACUAUGUACCCGGUAUAUG
rnacentral:lncRNA from 10 species